rnacentral:rRNA from 1 species
GACGAACGCUGGCGGCGUGCUUAACACAUGCAAGUCGAACGCUGAACCCGCUUCGGUGGGGGAUGAGUGGCGAACGGGUGAGUAACACGUGGGCAACCUGCCCCCGGCUCUGGGAUAACUCCAAGAAAUUGGGGCUAAUACCGGAUGUGACCGCUGGCCGCAUGGUCUGGUGGUGGAAAGGGUUUCCGGCUGGGGAUGGGCCCGCGGCCUAUCAGCCUGUUGGUGGGGUAGUGGCCUACCAAGGCGACGACGGGUAGCCGGCCUGAGAGGGUGACCGGCCACACUGGGACUGAGACACGGCCCAGACUCCUACGGGAGGCAGCAGUGGGGAAUAUUGCGCAAUGGGCGGAAGCCUGACGCAGCGACGCCGCGUGGGGGAUGACGGCCUUCGGGUUGUAAACCUCUUUCAGCAGGGACGAAGCGCAAGUGACGGUACCUGCAGAAGAAGCACCGGCCAACUACGUG